UAGGGAAUCUUCGGCAAUGGACGGAAGUCUGACCGAGCAACGCCGCGUGAGUGAAGAAGGUUUUCGGAUCGUAAAGCUCUGUUGUAAGAGAAGAACGAGUGUGAGAGUGGAAAGUUCACACUGUGACGGUAUCUUACCAGAAAGGGACGGCUAACUACGUGCCAGCAGCCGCGGUAAUACGUAGGUCCCGAGCGUUGUCCGGAUUUAUUGGGCGUAAAGCGAGCGCAGGCGGUUAGAUAAGUCUGAAGUUAAAGGCUGUGGCUUAACCAUAGUAGGCUUUGGAAACUGUUUAACUUGAGUGCAAGAGGGGAGAGUGGAAUUCCAUGUGUAGCGGUGAAAUGCGUAGAUAUAUGGAGGAACACCGGUGGCGAAAGCGGCUCUCUGGCUUGUAACUGACGCUGAGGUUCGAAAGCGUGGGGAGCAAACAGGAUUAGAUACCUUGGUAGUCCACGCUGUAAACGAUGAGUGCUAGGUGUUAGACCCUUUCCGGGGUUUAGUGCCGUAGCUAACGCAUUAAGCACUCCGCCUGGGGAGUACGACCGCAAGGUUG
rnacentral:rRNA from 1 species